rnacentral:lncRNA from 1 species
AUGUUCGUUUAUUGCCUCCAGCUAGUUAAAAAUCAAUUCCCAAGUGAUAGCUUCCAAAGGGAAAGAUACACAUGUACUCCAGGAAAACACAAAUUACUUUUCACCUUUAGAUACGAAACAGGUCUCCUGCAGCUCCGGGUUCUGAUUUAUCCGCUGUCACAUCCGAAGCCCAUCCCCGCAGUCCCUUCCUGCACGUCAGGCUUCGCUGUUCGGAUCACGUCUAAGUUUUCAAGCCUACUGCACCCCUGAGCAGAGAGCUUCCCCUCAAGCCCCUCAGCUCCGACUUCCCAGCCUGACAACUGUUCAGGGGAGCUCUUGCGAUGCUGCACAGGGGGCGACCAGAUUCUCAGGGCCCAAAACAGCUGCCAGGCAAGCCUCUCUCUGUUGGCUCUUCUCCGAGCUCCUGGACACUGGCAGGAUCCUUAUGAUCAUCAUCUCAGACAGAAGAACAAGUGAGUUUUUGUUUUUAUUGCCUAUUAUUGUUCAUGUCGCUUAGGGCUGAGAUUGAGUUUUUAAAUCACAGUAGAUGCCUUUGAAGAAGCUUAGGACCAAAAGACAGACUUUCCCCCAAGGCCUAUAACCAGCUAGUGGCAGAGUUUGUAUUCAUUCCUGUCUCUACCACACCACCCUUUAUUUCUGUCUCUCUAUAGUGUCUACAUACUAGUUGCUCAACAAAUUGUUAACUGGUUUAAUCUGAUGCAGUUAAGUGAA